CAUCUGGGUUCUCCUUCUGGAUCAAAGAGAAGUGUGGGUUGGGACUGAGGUAGUACUGCUGCAGGGAAUUGACACCUACAUCUGAAUCUUGCGCGGGUUCCAGGGCAAAGGAGGCUCCAAUUACGGCCAGUUCACUGAUUUCCAAUUCAGUGAUAUUUUGGCUAAAGGUUGGUGGAUUGUCAUUGACAUCCUGAAUUACCACACUUACAUGAAAGAAGUUCAAAGGCUUUUCGGCCACCAAUUCGAAUUCUAGAACACAUGUCGACUUCUCGCCACAAAUCUGCUCUCGGUCUAUACGGUCACUAACAAAUAUCAGAGGAGGCUCGCUUUUCCCACAGCUCUCCUGACUGAUGAGUGUGUCUGCAUAGUUGGGCUGGGGGAAGAUCAUGUGACUGUUCCGGGAGUCUGCUGUGAGGGAGACCUCGUGGGAAUAAGUCUGCAGGAAAGCUCGCACCCCGUCCACACCCACAAAGUGCGAGGUGGGCAUGCCAGCCAACCUGCUUCCUGAUGCCUGGAGCUGACUUGAAGAGUGCCAGCAUCUCAGCCUGAGUGCCAGUAGCACGAUGACAAAGGGCAAGUUCCUGGGGAUAGAACACACAAUCUCACCAUUCUCUACAGAAUCACCAUCAUGUACACUAAACAGUGCAAUUACAGUUCCAGGAGGACAGUCUUCAGAGACGGAACUAGCAAGGGAUGUGAGGAUCACUUCUGGGACAUUGUCAUUCACAUCCUGCACUGUCACCAAUACCUUAGCACUGGCAAGAAGAGCACCUCCAUCCUGAGCUACCACUUCCAUGAGGUAGAAUCUGGAUUCCUCAUAAUCCAGUGAUUGCAGAGUUGAGAUUUCACCCAGGCUGGAAUCAAGUUGGAAAGUCUCUGAAAUCUUAUCUUCUUCAUUGCGAAAAGAGUAUGUUAAUUCCCCGUUUACUCCCUCAUCUGGAUCCGUGGCGGUUAGUGUAAGCAGCCGAGAGCCUACAGGUAUGUUCUCUGGAACAGUCACUCUGUACUCAGAUUGAGUGAAGAGAGGCGCAUUAUCAUUUGCGUCGAGGACCACCACGUGUAUGUGCAUACUACUAGAGAGUAUGGGGUCUCCACCAUCUAAAGCUGUGAGAAGAAGGUCGUGGACAGCUACUUUCUCGCGGUCCAAGGGCCGUUCCAGUACCAGCUCCGGAUAUUUUUGUCCAUCAGUUCCGCUUUUCUGCUCCAGAGAGAAGUGCAUAUUGGGGCUGAGCUUAUAACUCUGGAGAGAGUUCAUACUCACAUCCGCGUCUCGAGCGAAAGGAAGCGCUAACCGAGUUCCCAUAGCCGCAUUUUCAUUAACUUUUACUUUUACUUCCUCAUCCCGGAAACGUGGAAAGUUAUCAUUAAUAUCUAUUAUUUCUAUUUCUACUCCAUAAAUUUUCAUGUUAUUCUCAAGCAAGAUGUUAAAACUCACCACACACCGUGCGCUCUGAGCACAGAGCUCCUCCCGGUCUAUCCUGCCUGCGGUGACCAAACUGCCGCUUCGCGGGUUCAGAGAAAAGAGCCGCGUCCUACCUCUGGAGACGAUGCGGACGCCACGCUCCGCCAGCUCCCGGGGCUCCAGACCCAGGUCCUUGGCGAUGCUGCCCACGAAGGAGCCUUUGUCCAGCUCCUCCAGCACCGAGUAGCGGAUCGGCCCGGCUCCAGCUCUCCAUAACGUCUCCAGGAGCAGGAGGAGCAGAAGCGGCUCUAUGCAGCCCCAACGCCUCAGUGUAUCCGCCAUUUCCUUCUCUCCGACCAGUUUCCUUAGUCCUGAUUCCAGCCUGCUGUACCCUUAUUUCUUUCAAGUCAAAGGAAACACAUUACUUGACAGAAACGCGAGGCUUUUCCCCAAAUUUCUCUGGUCUGUGUUUGUUUAGGGCGGAAGGAGCAGAGUCAGGUCGCCGUCAGCGGACAGCUUUUCCACUUUGGUGAACAGCGACGCUCAGAGUCCUAACCAGUUACUACACCAAUUCUGUUUUUAUUUCAUAAAUGUUUAAUUAUAUUUUAUUUCUAAUAAUUUUGCUGUAUUCUUAACCUAUUGACAAGUGACAUUACUCAUAUCUAAGAUUUAAUUCUGAAAUAUCAAAGGACUUCCACAAACCUUGAGAUCAAUAUAAUUAUUACAUUUUUAUUUCUUUAGAAAAGUUUUA